GAUGAACGCUAGCUACAGGCUUAACACAUGCAAGUCGAGGGGUAGCAGGGUAGCAAUACCGCUGACGACCGGCGCACGGGUGAGUAACACGUAUCCAACCUUCCCAUAACUCGGGGAUAGCCUUUCGAAAGAAAGAUUAAUACCGGAUGGUACUUUUUCAAGGCAUCUUGAGAAAGUUAAAGAUUUAUUGGUUAUGGAUGGGGAUGCGUUCCAUUAGAUAGUUGGUGAGGUAACGGCUCACCAAGUCUUCGAUGGAUAGGGGUUCUGAGAGGAAGGUCCCCCACAUUGGUACUGAGACACGGACCAAACUCCUACGGGAGGCAGCAGUGAGGAAUAUUGGUCAAUGGGCGAGAGCCUGAACCAGCCAAGUAGCGUGAAGGAUGAAGGUCCUAUGGAUUGUAAACUUCUUUUAUAGUAGAAUAAAGUGAUCCACGUGUGGAUUUUUGUAUGUAUACUAUGAAUAAGGAUCGGCUAACUCCGUGCCAGCCGCCGCCGUAAUAC
rnacentral:rRNA from 1 species